UGGCUCAGGACGAACGCUGGCGGCGUGCCUAAUACAUGCAAGUCGAGCGCGGGAAGCAAGCUGAUCCUCUUCGGAGGUGACGCUUGUGGAACGAGCGGCGGACGGGUGAGUAACACGUGGGCAACCUGCCUGUAAGACUGGGAUAACCCCGGGAAACCGGGGCUAAUACCGGAUAAUACUUUUCAUCACCUGAUGGAAAGUUGAAAGGUGGCUUUUAGCUACCACUUACAGAUGGGCCCGCGGCGCAUUAGCUAGUUGGUGAGGUAACGGCUCACCAAGGCAACGAUGCGUAGCCGACCUGAGAGGGUGAUCGGCCACACUGGGACUGAGACACGGCCCAGACUCCUACGGGAGGCAGCAGUAGGGAAUCUUCCGCAAUGGACGAAAGUCUGACGGAGCAACGCCGCGUGAGUGAUGAAGGUUUUCGGAUCGUAAAGCUCUGUUGUUAGGGAAGAACAAGUGCCGUUCGAAUAGGGCGGCACCUUGACGGUACCUAACCAGAAAGCCCCGGCUAACUACGUGCCAGCAGCCGCGGUAAUACGUAGGGGGCAAGCGUUGUCCGGAAUUAUUGGGCGUAAAGCGCGCGCAGGCGGUCCUUUAAGUCUGAUGUGAAAGCCCACGGCUCAACCGUGGAGGGUCAUUGGAAACUGGAGGACUUGAGUACAGAAGAGGAGAGUGGAAUUCCACGUGUAGCGGUGAAAUGCGUAGAGAUGUGGAGGAACACCAGUGGCGAAGGCGACUCUCUGGUCUGUAACUGACGCUGAGGCGCGAAAGCGUGGGGAGCGAACAGGAUUAGAUACCCUGGUAGUCCACGCCGUAAACGAUGAGUGCUAGGUGUUAGGGGGUUUCCGCCCCUUAGUGCUGAAGUUAACGCAUUAAGCACUCCGCCUGGGGAGUACGGCCGCAAGGCUGAAACUCAAAAGAAUUGACGGGGGCCCGCACAAGCGGUGGAGCAUGUGGUUUAAUUCGACGCAACGCGAAGAACCUUACCAGGUCUUGACAUCCUCUGCAAUCGGUAGAGAUACCGAGUUCCCUUCGGGGACAGAGUGACAGGUGGUGCAUGGUUGUCGUCAGCUCGUGUCGUGAGAUGUUGGGUUAAGUCCCGCAACGAGCGCAACCCUUGAUCUUA
rnacentral:rRNA from 1 species